UACGGAGGGAGCAAACGUUGUUCGGAUUUACUGGGCGUAAAGGGUGUGUAGGCGGUCUUGCAAGUCAGGGGUGAAAUCUCUCGGCUCAACCGAGAAACUGCCUUUGAGACUGCAGGACUUGAGGGCGUGAGAGGAGACUGGAAUUCCUAGUGUAGCGGUGAAGUGCAUAGAUAUUAGGAGGAACACCAGUGGCGAAGGCGAGUCUCUGGGCAGUAACUGACGCUGAGGAGCGAAAGCGUGGGGAGCGAACAGG
rnacentral:rRNA from 1 species